UCUUCACCAAUCUUCUAUACUGCGCCUGUUCUCAGUCGACUCGCCGGAAUGUUCACACGAAGCAGUAGAAAGAGAAGCCAAGAGCAACAACAUUAGGAAGACGAGUGGAGUGAAAAGAGAAGAAGCCGACCAGAAUCAGGAUGGAUGCAUCAGUAGUGAAGGUUAUGGGCAUGACAUGGUAUCGUGGUCAAUUUUCUCAGUUGCAGAACCGGGCAUUUAGAAGUUACCAGCCUCGAAUCUGUUUAAAGUGUCCAUCUGUACAGGCUGAAAGAUCGAAACGAUCUCCUGUGAGAGCUGGGAUAUCACGUGCUCUAAAAUUUAAAACAGGAACGAAAAUUUGCCCACUACGAAGUUGCGCUAGUGUCUCAUCCCCUUUCUCUGCAUCUAGAGCCAUGACAUCCAUUGGAUGUGAGCUUUUGAACUCUGGGAUGCCCAUGAAUGUUUCCUUUUAUGGGUCAGUAGGUGGACCAUGGGCGACUAGUUAUGCUAGUAAUAGCAUCAGCAGGUCAUAUUCCCAAACAGCAAAGGCGGGUACACGAAAUCGUAUUAUUUCAACGGAAGGAGGGAGCAGUGGGAAGAAUACUACUGAUGCUGCAGAGGUGCCAGAUAGCUCCAAAAAGAUAUCUGGGGCCAAGGAGGUUAGAAAAGGCAAAAGCAAAAGUAAGAACAAACAGCCUAAAGUACCCCCAGAGGUGCAGUCUAAUUUGACAGUAGCAGAAGUGGUUGAAAGCGUUGAUACACCUAAGACAGUUCAAAAGAAAGUGAAGAGGAGCCCUGCUAGAAAGAAAAAAUCUACUGUGGAAUCUAGUUCUCUUCCCAAAUCCAAUGUAGAUUUUACAGGAAAAUCAAAUCUCAAGGUUUCGCCUACCCCAACUUCUUGCCUAGUCUCUAAAGCAAAGCCUCUAGGCGGAAAGGCUUGGCCUCAAUUAUAUCCACCUAUUAGUAAAUCUGUUGUAGUGGUUGAGUCAGUGACGAAGGCAAAAGUCAUUCAAGGGUACCUUGGUGAAAUGUAUGAAGUCCUUCCGAGUUAUGGCCAUGUAAGGGAUUUGGCUGCAAGAUCAGGAUCGGUACGACCUGAUGAUGACUUCAGUAUGGUGUGGGAAGUCCCAUCUCCCGCCUGGUCUCAUCUUAAGAGUAUCAAGGUUGCAUUGAGUGGGGCGCAAAAUCUUAUUCUUGCCUCAGACCCUGAUCGUGAAGGAGAGGCUAUUGCCUGGCACCUAAUUGAGAUGUUGCAGCAACAGGAUGCACUUCGUGAAGAUGUCAGCAUUGCUAGAGUUGUUUUCAAUGAAAUUACUGAAUCAUCUAUUAAAAGUUCUCUUCAAGCUCCACGGGACAUAGAUGCUGAUUUGGUGCAUGCUUAUCUUGCUCGGCGUGCUCUUGAUUACUUGAUUGGCUUCAAUGUUUCUCCUCUGCUUUGGAGGAAACUACCAGGUUGCCAGUCUGCUGGACGUGUCCAAUCUGCUGCUUUAGCUCUCAUAUGUGAUAGAGAAAAGGAGAUAGAUGACUUUAAAUCUACAGAGUACUGGACUAUCAAUGCUUACUUCCAGAAUAACAAUCUGAACUCAACCAACAAUGCCACUGUCACUUCACAUCUAACACAUUUUGAUUCCAAAAAGCUGAAUCAGUUGUCAAUCAGCUCUGACGUGGAGGCAAAAAGUAUUGAAGAGAAGAUUAAUAUAUCCAAGUUUGAAGUGAUUGGUUCUAAAACCAGCAAAACCCGUAGAAACCCACCCAUGCCGUAUAUAACAUCAACAAUCCAGCAAGACGCAGCAAACAAAUUAAACUUUGCAGCUUCAUAUACCAUGAAAGUAGCACAAAAGCUUUACGAGGGAGUUGAAUUAUCAGAUGGAAAGGCCACUGGACUGAUAACUUACAUGAGAACUGAUGGCUUACACUUAUCUGAUGAAGCUGCGAAGAGCAUUCAAAACUUUGUUGUUGAAAAAUAUGGGCCGAAUUUUGCAACAAAGUCUACUCGCAAGUAUUUUAAGAAGGUUAAAAAUGCUCAGGAGGCCCAUGAAGCCAUUAGACCCACUGAUAUCCGUAGAGUACCGUCAAGCCUUGCUGGGGUUCUUGAUGCAGAUUCCCUGAAGUUAUAUACUCUUAUAUGGUGUCGGACGAUGGCAUGCCAAAUGGAACCGGCCAUCAUUGAGCAGUUGCAAUGUGAUAUCGGAAAUGCCGAUCAAUCCAUUGUGUUUCGUUCUACAUGCUCAAGGGUUGAAUUUUUGGGAUAUCAGGCCGCUUAUGCGGAUGCUGAAACCAUCAGAGUUAGACAUAGUGACGAUGAUGGUGGUCAUCGUAAUGAUGUAUUUGAGAUAUUGAGUAAAUUGAAAUAUGGUCAGCCAUUAUACUUGACUAGUGUAGAGCUUGAUGAACACCAUACAGAGCCUCCACCCCGUUAUUCUGAGGGCUCACUAGUAAAAAAGCUAGAGGAACUCGGUAUCGGAAGACCUUCUACAUAUGCAACCACUAUUAAGGUGCUAAAAGAUAGAAAAUAUGUAACAAUGAAAAGUAGGGCAUUGAUUCCUGAAUUUCGUGGUCGCAUGGUCUCAGCAUUUCUUUCACAUUAUUUUUCGGAGGUGACAGAUUACAGUUUUACUGCUGAUAUGGAGGCUGAACUUGAUAAUGUAUCUGGUGGAAUAACUGAAUGGAAGGGCCUUCUGAAAGAUUAUUGGACUAGAUUUAGCAAGUACUGUGAGAGUGCUAGUGGUGUCCACAUCCAUCAGGUUGAGAAAAUGUUGGAAAAAACAUUUGGUGACUUCUUAUUUUCUUCUCUUCGUGAUGGAAAUAGGACUUGCCCAAGCUGUCUGGCUGGGACAUUAGUCUUCAAAGUUAGCAGGUUUGGUGCAGGAUACUUUAUUGGUUGUGAUCAACACCCAAAAUGCAAGUAUAUUGCUCAAACACUCUAUGGUGAAGAUAAUGACGAUGACAUCCAGGACCAACAAAAGAGAAGUGUCGAGGAGCCAAAGUUGCUGGGCUUACAUCCAGCAUCUCAGGAUAAGAUUCUGUUGAAGUGUGGUCCAUAUGGACACUAUGUGCAGCUUGGUGAAGACAGGAAAGGGCAUCCACCCAAGCGAGCAUCAUUGUCUCACAUUAAGGAUGUGGCCUCCGUCACGUUGGAUAUUGCCAUAGACUUGUUGCAGUAUCCAGUAACCUUGGGAAACCACCCAGAUGAUAGCCAACCCGUGAUUCUGAAGCUUGCAAAGGGUGGAUUUUCCAUCAGACACAGACGCACAAUUGCUCCCGUUCCCAAGAAUCUAAAACCCAGUGAGAUAACCUUAGAGAAAGGUUUGGAACUACUAAACGGUAAAGAUGUAAAGAGGUGUGGACGACCGAAGCAAAAAAAGAGUGCUGAACCGGCAGAGGCUAUGUAAUUUACAAUUUGAAUUUGCAGGUCAGGUAAUAUCUUGCAAGGCUUAUACUGGCAGUGUAGCUUUUGAAGCUGAUAUGCCAUGAUCCUGUCACUGCUGGUUACCAUUGAAGUAUAUGGGCUAUGAUUGGACGAACUGCAAAUCCAUUGAUCGUGCAUUUUUCCCCAUGUGUGGACACUACAAUACCUGCAGCAAUCGUGGUUGAGGUGAAAAAACUUCUUAAGGAAAUGGGGAGAAAAGAAAAGGUCAAUGGCGAUGAAUGCCAUUAAUCCUGAUAAUUGUAUCUUUUGUUUGGAAAACAAAAUAUGCCAAGAAUAUUAGAUCAAUCUGCUUAAUGGCUCACCUUGAGAAUGUCACUGUCAUGCUCUAACCACCUUUCAGGUCGCUAUGAAGGACUUUCUUCUUCUGAAGUUGGUAUUUAUCACUUUAAUAUCUGAUGAAUAAAGGUCUCCGCUCUUAUACUGUAUUUCUUUGUAAUGUAUCAUCACUUCUAAUCAUCUCCAU